GACAGAGGGUGCAAACGUUGUUCGGAAUUACUGGGCGUAAAGCGCGUGUAGGCUGUUUGCAAGUCGGAUGUGAAAGCCCUGGGCUCAACCUAGGAAGUGCACUCGAAACUGCAGAACUGGAGCCUGGAGAGGAAGGCGGAAUUCUCGGUGUAGAGGUGAAAUUCGUAGAUAUCGAGAGGAACACCGGUGGCGAAGGCGGCCUUCUGGACAGUGACUGACGCUGAGACGCGAAAGCGUGGGGAGCAAACAGG
rnacentral:rRNA from 1 species